GACGAACGCUGGCGGCGUGCCUAAUACAUGCAAGUAGAACGCACAGUUUAUACCGUAGCUUGCUACACCAUAGACUGUGAGUUGCGAACGGGUGAGUAACGCGUAGGUAACCUGCCUGGUAGCGGGGGAUAACUAUUGGAAACGAUAGCUAAUACCGCAUAAUAUUAAUUAUUGCAUGAUAAUUAAUUGAAAGGUGCAAUUGCACCACUACCAGAUGGACCUGCGUUGUAUUAGCUAGUAGGUGAGGUAACGGCUCACCUAGGCGACGAUACAUAGCCGACCUGAGAGGGGGAUCGGCCACACUGGGACUGAGACACGGCCCAGACUCCUACGGGAGGCAGCAGUAGGGAAUCUUCGGCAAUGGACGAAAGUCUGACCGAGCAACGCCGCGUGAGUGAAGAAGGUUGUCGGAUCGUAAAGCUCUGUUGUAAGAGAAGAACGGGUGUGAGAGUGGAAAGUUCACACUGUGACGGUAUCUUACCAGAAAGGGACGGCUAACUACGUG
rnacentral:rRNA from 1 species